rnacentral:rRNA from 1 species
AACGCUAGCUACAGGCUUAACACAUGCAAGUCGAGGGGCAGCAUGGUCUUAGCUUGCUAAGGCCGAUGGCGACCGGCGCACGAGUGAGUAACACGUAUCCAACCUGCCGUCUACUCUUGGACAGCCUUCUGAAAGGAAGAUUAAUACAAGAUGGCAUCAUGAGUCCGCAUGUUCACAUGAUUAAAGGUAUUCCGGUAGACGAUGGGGAUGCGUUCCAUUAGAUAGUUGGCGGGGUAACGGCCCACCAAACCGACGAUGGAUAGGGGUUCUGAGAGGAAGGUCCCCCACAUUGGAACUGAGACACGGUCCAAACUCCUACGGGAGGCAGCAGUGAGGAAUAUUGGUCAAUGGACGAGAGUCUGAACCAGCCAAGUAGCGUGAAGGAUGACUGCCCUAUGGGUUGUAAACUUCUUUUAUACGGGAAUAAAGUGAGGCACGUGUGCCUUUUUGUAUGUACCGUAUGAAUAAGGAUCGGCUAACUCCGUGCCAGCAGCCGCGGUAAUACGGAGGAUCCGAGCGUUAUCCGGAUUUAUUGGGUUUAAAGGGAGCGUAGGCGGACGCUUAAGUCAGUUGUGAAAGUUUGCGGCUCAACCGUAAAAUUGCGGUUGAUACUGGGUGUCUUGAGUACAGUAGAGGCAGGCGGAAUUCGUGGUGUAGCGGUGAAAUGCUUAGAUAUCACGAAGAACUCCGAUUG